rnacentral:rRNA from 1 species
AACGAACGCUGGCGGCAUGCCUAACACAUGCAAGUCGAACGAGACCUUCGGGUCUAGUGGCGCACGGGUGCGUAACGCGUGGGAACCUGCCCUUAGGUUCGGAAUAACUCCCCGAAAGGGGUGCUAAUACCGGAUAAUGUCUUCGGACCAAAGAUUUAUCGCCUUUGGAUGGGCCCGCGUUGGAUUAGCCAGUUGGUAGGGUAAAAGCCUACCAAGGCGACGAUCCAUAGCUGGUCUGAGAGGAUGAUCAGCCACACUGGGACUGCGACACGGCCCAGACUCCUACGGGAGGCAGCAGUGGGGAAUAUUGGACAAUGGGCGAAAGCCUGAUACAGCAAUGCCGCGUGAGUGAUGAAGGCCUUAGGGUUGUAAAGCUCUUUUACCCGGGAUGAUAAUGACAGUACCGGGAGAAUAAGCUCCGGCUAACUACGUG